AGGAACACCACAGCUUCUACUUUUUUGUCGUAUAAAAUUGUCGGUUUCUUUCUUCUGCUAACAAUUCUCUGAGAAUUCAAGCCCUAAUUUUUUUUCUUAAUUUUGUCCUGAUUGCUUUGUAUGAUUGAGUUUUCGGUGAUGCUCGGCUCUCUCGAAACUCUGGCCUCGAGGUUGAUCAUGAAGUGCAGAUGAAACUAUGUAAUAUAAAAGUCAUGUUGGAUAGUUGUAGCUGCACUUCAAGGACUCUCAUUAUUUACGGUAGAUUGACGGAGGUCAGUUUCUCAUAAGCUGUAAUGAAAUCUCACGCAAUCAAAUCUUAGAGACAGAGCUGAUUUUUCUGUUUGAUUUCGCCAAUAGCAGGACGUCAUGUUUGUUGAUUUGAUAGGUAAUGUAUCCCCUGCUUAGGAUUUAGAAGAAACUUUUUGAUUUUUAUCUUUAUAUCUACCAAUCGAUUGUAGGGUUUCAAUUCAUUGUGGAGGUCUUAGUUUCAGGGUGGAAAUGUCCGAAUAUUAGUUAGUAAAUUUUAAACGACUCUUGGUAGAAAAUUUUCUGCUCUCCUCUUCAUAAACUUGGUGUUCAAUUUCAUAUACAAUUUUCUAACUUUUGAUUCUUCUACGAAAUUCUUCUUUUUUGUACUAAUUUUGGUGUUCAAUUCAUUAGCGUUCUACAUACUCAAUUUGUUGAUUCAAACAGAUCAUUUGGCGUUACAUAAUGCCAAUGUUUUUAUUUAUUAUUGUUUUAGCAAAUUUAGUUGAAUUUUCAAUUACCUAAAAUGAUUUGAUACAUCGAUUCAGUUGGAUCGACAUCUGAAAUGUGGGUUUUCAUAAUUCGGUGAUUUUGAUUGUGAGUUUGGUUGAUUCAACACAUCGCCCCGGCUACAAGGAGAGGAGUUGGCUAUCUGCAUUCUACAUGUCCAACAGCGAACCAAUUGAACUUCCAAUUUUCCAGAGGCUAGGAAUGCAUAUUCGUUUACAUGCUAAUGGGGAGAAAUAAUGGAUAUCAGCUAAUUAAGGAGUUAUAGACUAUUAAAUAAGUUUACAACACAAUGUAAUGGUCCAAGACUAUCGAUUGCAUUCACUCUUUAUGCCGCAUGAAGACAUUACUUAUUCUUCCUUUUGUUAUAGUUGAAGAUCAAUCAAUUGCACUUCUUAAAGGUGGUGAAGUUCGCUAGGUUCUUGGCUUACAAUUUUCUUUCUUAAUGAAAUUCAACUUCUUCUCGACAUCAAUUGAUUUUAACAGUACCCUACCUUAGCCGAAACAACAUGGAACAGGUGCAUUAUAUGAAGAGAAGCAUAGUAUGUCACAAUGGGAGUUCACGGCAGAAAAGGGUUUCGUCUGUAACCAAAAGCCUCUAUCUCUCUACUGCACUUGAUGAGAUUCGUGCCAAAGGCACCUUAAUGAUACAAAUAACCAUGCUAGAGAGAGUUAUGUUUUACUGGUAUAUCUUAACUUGGAACACAGGCACAGCAAAAUAUAAACUCUGAUGUGUGUUACUUAAUGGAAUUUUUCCUCUAUUAAUUUAUGUUUAUAACUUAACCUCUUAUCUGCCAAUAAGCAUUGAAAUGGAGGAGGAAGCCAGGAAGAUAAUUAUUUCAGCUCACGUUCUUCUACAUUUGUGUUUUGUGCUCUUUGCUUGGGAAGAAUAUUUUUGGAAUUUUUUAAAAUUUUGUUUCUUGAAAAUACGAAGGAUGUCUUUGUAAUUUAGAGCCAUUGUUCGUCGUAUGUGUUCUCCAGGUACAGAAAUACUAAGAUUACAGUUUAUUGCUACUGUUUGCACCGCUGAUUUCGGUUGUCAGAAAUAUCGAAGGGAUUUGCAGAUUACUUUCUUCAAAGUGGCCAGUUAAAAUUUUAGGGAGAACAUGGAAGUGUACAGUCUCUCUAUAUAUGCAGUUUACGAAUGUUAAAAGCCUUUAAUCUAGAUUUUCUUGACUCAUUUAACAGGGAAGUUCUUUUGAAGAUCAUGCAUCGUUUUAAUCAAAGAGCCGGGAAUGUGGUAAGCAGGUAUGUGUUCCUUUCCUUGGUAUUUUAGUUUUUUUGUAUUUUUUAAUCUAAUGGAACAUGAAUUAACUGCCAAGUGCGACUCAUCAAGAUGAAUUGGGCAGUUGAUGAGAUUUCUAAACGGAAUGGUCUAACGGUGAAAAGUGAUCAGCUAAGAUACCAUUUGUUUAAUAUGGAUUAACAACUAACUGCACCUCAUCUUGGUCAAGAUGAACUGGGCAGUUGAUGAACUUUCUGAACAGAAUACGGGGUCUAAUCAUGAGAAAAUAAGCACCUAAGAUAUCCAUCCACUGAAUAUGACCCGACUUGCUGCAAUUCACAACACCACCUAAUUUUCUACACGUUUGGGAGAAGUAGGCACUGUAACCGACUUAGGUUAGUGUUUGUACAUCUAAUUCUCAUAUUCUUUUUAUAGCCUAAAUUAGAUGUAAAAACACUAUCCCGAUAUCAGUUACGGUGAGAGAUGAUCAUUUCAAUACUAACUAGCACAAAAGAUGGUAAGUGGGAUUGAAUACUUUGGUUUAGAUUUUUUAAGUUUUUGUGGUAUGGUCACAUACGUUAUUAGUUUUUUAAGUUUUUUAUAGCUGCAGCGGUGGAUGUAAGUACCAGGAAGGCAAGUUUUAUAACAAUAGAAAACUUUCAACAUUCUGGGACAUUCCUUUCAACCUUGGCUCCAGGAUAGCUAUUGUUUGUAAUUAUUAUCUAGCCAUGUUAUUGCUAUUGUUCAUCAUUUUCAUUAAUCCUCUUUUAUUGUUUUCAUUUGUUUGUGGAUAAGUCCACUCACCUCACCAUCCAAUUGAACCUUAUUCUCAGUGCUUUCUCGAAACCCUCUUUAUUUUAGAUGUUCAACCAAUGUCUCCUGCGUUUCAGGCCAUUGCUAAGAAGUUGGCUGAGCUAACCGGGAAGGGAGUUAUAGCAGUCACUGGAGGUGGUGUCUCGAUUGCAGCCAUGGAGAAAGUAUGUCAGGCAAACAAGAUGUAUCACGUGUACACCAUAAGAGAGUAAUAACAAUCGUUGGUGUGCUGACUCAAUGGAAACUGUGGAGAAAGUAGCUCAGGCAAACAAGAUGUGCCACAUGGCCACCAGAGAAGCUGCCUGUAAGGAGCCAUCUAAAGACUGUGCCUGCUUCGUAUAUAUCAAGGAACCUUUUACAUUAUUGAGGUUGACAUCUAAAUCCAUCUCUUGGUUAUGACCCAAUAAUAACUAAUAAUAACGAAAGGUAGCCAACAAAUUUAAUAGUCUUGCACUUUUCAAUUUUAUGUAA